AUGGCGACCGGCUCGCGUGCGCCGCGACGCCGCCGCCCCCGCUCGCCGCCGACGCUGAUCGACGACCUCGUGCGCGAGAUCUUCCUGAGCGUACCCGUGGACGACCCCGUGACCAUCGUCCGCGGCGCCGCCGGCUGCAGGAGCUGGCGCAGCAUGCUGUCCGCCCCCGACUUCGCCCGCGACUACCGCAGGGCCCGCAGUGCGUCGCCCGUGCUGGGCUUCCUCCACAACACCACCAGCGAACCGGAGGAUCGCUUCGCCUCCUCCCACUUCGUCCCCACCGCGGCCUUCCGCUUCCGCCCCCCGGCGUACGAGGACCUCUCCCGCUGGGACGUCCUCGACUCCCGCCAUGGCCUCGCCCUCCUCCACGCCCCCAAGAGCAAGAGGAACAAGGGCUUCGUUGCCUGCGACCUCGUCACCGGCCAGCGGUGGGAAUUCGGCGACCCCGAGUGCCACAACGUCAUGUGGUGGCCGCACGGCGAUCACAUGGACAAGCGCAUACGCUGUAGUGCCACGGUGCUCUGCGCCAAGGCCCGAUGUGACCAGCUCGACUGCCAUGGCGAUGGCGGCCCUUUCCGCGUGGCCUUGGUGGGCACCGACUAUAGAAACUUGAGAUCCUACGCCACCGUCUACUCAUCAGAGACUCGUGAGUGGAGGGACACCAUCUCUGUUCACAACCUGGAUUUCGUCAAUGGCAGGGGGAACAGUGCUGUUGUGGGAAAUAAGGUCUAUGUCCAAUGUGUAGAGAGUGACAAAGUCGUGGAGUACAACAUGCAUGAGCAAAAACUAUCACUGAUCACCCUGCCAUUUGAGGACCAGGAGGGGAUCGACGAGAGCAUUGACCUCAUGGGGGUGGACGACGGCAGUCUGCUCUUUGCAUCCGUGCUGAAGGCUAAACUCUGCCUAUGGACUAUGGAGGCUGGUCCCGGCGGAGCUGCGGGGUGGGCGCGACGCUGGGCUAUCGAGCUCAAACCAUCGCUCCCUGCUCGUUUCCUCACAGACAAGGCAAAUAUGCUGGUUGGCUUUGCUGAAGGUGUUGGUGUCAUCUUCCUGAGUACAAGGGCGGGGCUGUACGCAAUUGAGCUCAAUUCAGGCAAAGGCAACAGGGUUCACAAAGGGUUUUUUGAUAAGAUCAUACCCUACAGGAGCUUCUGCACUAGAGCAAUAGGGGGGUUGGCCGACCUCGCACGCGCAGUUAGCCGGCGUACAGGAGCUUCUGUACUAGAGCAAUAG
rnacentral:rRNA from 1 species